CAGUCGAACGGCAGCACAGUAAGAGCUUGCUCUUAUGGGUGGCGAGUGGCGGACGGGUGAGGAAUACAUCGGAAUCUACCUUUUCGUGGGGGAUAACGUAGGGAAACUUACGCUAAUACCGCAUACGACCUUCGGGUGAAAGCAGGGGACCUUCGGGCCUUGCGCGGAUAGAUGAGCCGAUGUCGGAUUAGCUAGUUGGCGGGGUAAAGGCCCACCAAGGCGACGAUCCGUAGCUGGUCUGAGAGGAUGAUCAGCCACACUGGAACUGAGACACGGUCCAGACUCCUACGGGAGGCAGCAGUGGGGAAUAUUGGACAAUGGGCGCAAGCCUGAUCCAGCCAUACCGCGUGGGUGAAGAAGGCCUUCGGGUUGUAAAGCCCUUUUGUUGGGAAAGAAAAGCAGUCGAUUAAUACUCGGUUGUUCUGACGGUACCCAAAGAAUAAGCACCGGCUAACUUCGUGCCAGCAGCCGCGGUAAUACGAAGGGUGCAAGCGUUACUCGGAAUUACUGGGCGUAAAGCGUGCGUAGGUGGUUGUUUAAGUCUGUUGUGAAAGCCCUGGGCUCAACCUGGGAAUUGCAGUGGAUACUGGGCGACUAGAGUGUGGUAGAGGGUAGUGGAAUUCCCGGUGUAGCAGUGAAAUGCGUAGAGAUCGGGAGGAACAUCCAUGGCGAAGGCAGCUACCUGGACCAACACUGACACUGAGGC
rnacentral:rRNA from 1 species